CUACGGGUCGCUCCAGUGAGGAAUAUUGCACAAUGGGGGGAACCCUGAUGCAGCAACGCCGUGUGGAGGAUGACGCAUUUCGGUGUGUAAACUCCUUUUAUAUGUCAAGAAAAUGACGGUAGCAUAUGAAUAAGCACCGGCUAACUCCGUGCCAGCAGCCGCGGUAAUACGGAGGGUGCAAGCGUUACUCGGAAUCACUGGGCGUAAAGGACGCGUAGGCGGGUUGGAAAGUCAGGUGUGAAAUCCUACAGCUUAACUGUAGAACUGCACUUGAAACUUCUAAUCUAGAGUAUGGGAGGGGGAGAUGGAAUUAGUGGUGUAGGGGUAAAGUCCGUAGAUAUCACUAGGAAUACCUAAAGCGAAGGCGAUCUCCUGGAACAUUACUGACGCUAAGGCGUGAAAGCGUGGGGAGCAAACAGGAUUAGAUACCCCAGUAGUC
rnacentral:rRNA from 1 species